rnacentral:rRNA from 1 species
AUCCUGCGCCGAAGAUUUCCGGGGCUAAAACUUACUACCGAAGCUACGGCAUCAGUAAUGAGGGGUAGGGGAGCUUCCCAUAUGGGUUGAAGCAUGACCGUAAGGACAUGUGGACAGUAUGGGAGUGGGAAUGUUGGCAUGAGUAGCGAGAUGUGGGUGAGAAUCCCACAGGCCGUAAACCCAAGGUUUCCAGGGGAAGGUUCGUCCGCCCUGGGUUAGUCGGGACCUAAGCUGAGGCCGAAAGGCAUAGGUGAUGGACAACAGGUUGAUAUUCCUGUACUACCGAUAACCGUUUGAGAGAUGGGAUGACACAGUAGGAUAAGCUAAGCACACUGUUGGUUAUGUGUGCCCAAGCAUUGAGGCAGUCAAAGUAGGUAAAUCCGCUUUGAUAAUGCUGGGAUGUGAUGGGGAGCGAAAUUUAGUAGCGAAGUAGCUGAUUUCACACUGUCAAGAAAAGUCUCUAUCGAGGUUAAAGGUACCCGUACCGCAAACCGACACAGGUGGGUGAGGAGAGUAUCCUAAGGCCAGCGAGAGAACUGUUGUUAAGGAACUCGGCAAAAUGACCCCGUAACUUAGGGAUAAGGGGUGCCACCAUCAGGUGGCCGCAGAGAAUAGGCCCAAGCGACUGUUUACCAAAAACAUAGGUUUCUGCUAAGUCGCAAGACGAUGUAUAGGAGCUGACGCCUGCCCGGUGCUGGAAGGUUAAGGGGAUCUGUUAGAGCAAUCGAAGCAGUGAACUUAAGCC